UACUGACUAGAAACAUAUCAUGCUCACUUUAUCUAACACCUGUUUUGAGAGGUGUUGGUCAAACUGUUGAAAGCUACAAACGUCACCGUUUUGCCAAAGAGUCAUCAUGACCCUUGCACGGGUCCCUCUAGUCUCUACUCUCUCAGCUUCAGAAAACUCCCUUCGUGAUUCUCAACAGGGAAGAAGAUAAUCAGAUAACUCUUUGCACUGCUCCUCUGACAUCAUAUUCGGAGAAAGGAAAGUAAUUGAUUACUCUCUUGACUUCGAAUUCGAAUGUCUCCUAGUUGAUUGAUGGAGAGAUCUAGAUCGAAGAGGAACUAUCACUACGUCCAAGACUACGACGGAGACUCCAUCCCAAGGUCCAAACCUCGCUUCAACAAUAACUAUGGCGGCGGAGGAGGUAACAACAGAUACCGCGGCGGCGUUGGCGGCGGAGGCGGAGGAGGAAACGGCCGUCCCUCUAAGUCCCACCCCGAGACGAUGGCGACAACGACCUACCGCGUCCUCUGCCACGACGCCAAGGCGGGAGGCGUCAUCGGCAAAUCAGGAUCCAUCAUCAAGUCCAUCCGCCAGCACACCGGAGCCUGGAUCAACGUCCACGAGCUUCUCCCCGGAGACGCCGAGCGCAUCAUCGAGAUUUCCGACAACCGCCGCCGCGAUCCCGACGGGAGGAUGCCGUCGUUCUCCCCCGCUCAGGAGGCUCUGUUCAGCGUCCACGACAGGAUUCUCGAGAGCGAGCCUCAGUUUGGGGCGGAAGACGAGGAGGAUUACGGCGGAGUGAGAGGCGGAGGAGGGAGGGUUGUGACGAGGCUUGUGGUUUCGAAGCUUCAUGUGGGUUGCUUGUUGGGUAAAGGUGGGAAGAUCAUCGAGCAGAUGAGGAUUGAGACCAAGACUCAUAUUAGGAUUUUGCCUAGAGAGACUAACUUGCCUCGUUGUGUUUCCUUGUCUGAAGAGAUUGUUCAGAUUGUGGGUGAAGCAGCUGCAGUGAGAAACGCUUUGGCUAUUGUAUCGUCGCGUCUACGAGAGAGUCAGCAUCGUGAUCGCAGUCAUUUACAGGGGCGUGUGCAUUCUUCACCGGACCGGUCUUUUUCACCUGCUGAUGAUUACAUCCCACAGCAGAGAAGACAGACGUCAGAUAGGUUUCAUUAUAGGAAUAACAGUUUCAGCUCUCGCCAGUCCAACUAUGCAGAAGAAGAAGAAGCUCCAGUUGGUGAGAAUGUACAGCCUUUUUACACUGAAGAGCUUGUGUUCCGGAUUCUAUGUCCUGUUGAAAAGAUUGUUAAGGUUGUUGGGGAAGCAGAAGGUAUAGUAGAUUUGCUUCAGAACGAGAUUGGCGUUGACGUGAGGGUGUCUGAACCUGUUGCUGGUUCUGAUGAACAGAUAAUUACCAUUUCUUCAGAAGAGGCACCUGAUGAUCAGUUUUUCCCUGCUCAAGAAGCUUUGCUGCACAUUCAGACUCGGAUUGUAGACCUUAUUCCUGAUGAAGAUAACAUUAUAACAACGAGAUUGCUUGUCUCAUCUAGAGACUCAGUAUGUUUGGAAGGGAAAGCAGGAUCAGUGUCUGAGAUAUCACGAGUAACUGGAGCUAGCGUACAGAUCCUACCAAGGGAAGAGAUGCCGCGAUGUGUUUCCACCAAUGAUGUUGUUGUACAGAUAACAGGGGAGAUCAGAGCAGCUAGGGAUGCACUUGUUGAAUUAACGUUACGACUCAGGAGUCAUAUGUACAGGGAGCUCUCUCAGAAGGAGACACCACCAGCUUCAACAUCCACAACUGGCCCUCUUGAAGGUGUUGCAGGAGUAAUAGAGGUCGCUUCAUCAAAUAACACAACUCAACCCCGUGAAGGACUCUCAAUAGCGCCACAAUAUAAGGAAAGUGGUGGAUCAGUUGCAAAGGCGGGUGAAAGUGAACAGCGGGAGGAGGUUCCUAACACGGCAAACAGAAUGUCGGUGCCACUUGUUACUAGGAGCACUCUUGAAGUUGUCUUACCGGACCAGGUUAUUCCUAAGCUAGUUACGAAAUCAAGAAACAAGCUUGCACAAAUCAGUGAGUGGUCUGGAGCUAGUGUAACCUUAGUUGACGACCGACCGGGAGAAACACAGAAUGUGAUUAGAAUUUCGGGUACGCCAGAGCAGGCAGAGAGAGCACAGAGCUUGCUUCAAGGCUUCAUCUUGAGCAUACAAGACGAUGAAUCGUGAACUUGGACAUGAGCAACGCAAGGAUUCAAUCAAGAAAUGUGGAGUUUUUAUUGAGUAAUAGGAUCUGAGUGAAAGUGUGAGCAGUAAAGGGUAGAGGUAUAGAAGAACAAGCGUUUCAUCCACCAGAUGGAGAUGUAUUUGGCAAUUGGUUCCUGGAUCGGACUUGUACUCCUGUGACCUUGGACUUGGAUUACACUCCUGCACAAUCUUGACCAUCGAUGCGUUAGUGUCCUUGACAAGCAGUUACAUUUUAGUUCGUGGCCUCUAUAAUGAGAGGAACUGGUUGUAUUAUAGUACUACUUUUGUUGUAUAGUUGUAAACGACGCUAUAUAUAUAUAGUUGGCUUGAAAGCCUGUAAAAUCACUUUCAGAAAUAAUGUUGCACUUGUUGUUGGAAAAAUAAAACACAGGUUGCUUUAGCU